UGCCAUUUGCAUUUAGAUUCCAAGAGUUUAAAAAGUUAUAAACAGAUCCCAAUACUUUAAAAUCAUUACAAAAAAGCCUAGCUAUCUAUCUCUAUUAGGCAAUAUUUUUGAGAGGUUAAAUUUUAUGAAAUAUCAUAAAUGCCCUUUCUAGAAGUUUUUUGAUUUUGGCACAAAUUGGAGGAGAGGGAAAGAAAAGUCAUAUGACUCUCAUGCAACAAUCUUUUCCCAUUUGGUUCCUUUUUUUCAUCUAGUCUUUGUGCCUCAUCAGAUACAAAGAAAGGAAAAACAAGAGGGAGGAUGGUAUAGUGGAGGGAGAAAGAAGAAGAUUGGGGC
rnacentral:lncRNA from 1 species